rnacentral:rRNA from 1 species
UACGGAGGGUGCAAGCGUUAUCCGGAAUCACUGGGUUUAAAGGGUGCGUAGGCGGCUAGAUAAGUCAGAGGUGAAAGUUUGUCGCUUAACGAUAGAACUGCCUUUGAUACUGUUAAGCUUGAAAGUAGGUGAGGUUGGCGGAAUGUGACAUGUAGCGGUGAAAUGCAUAGAUAUGUCAUAGAACACCGAUUGCGAAGGCAGCUCGCUAAACUGUUACUGACGCUGAGGCACGAAAGCGUGGGGAGCAAACAGG